CGUCUUCAACGGCGGCGGCGGUGGCUUCUGGGGAUGGAGGACCUUGGGGAGAGGUCGGAACCGGGACAGACGGACGUACUCGGGAACCGGCGAUGGACGCGCCCGAUGCUCCCCCUGCGGGGGACGCUUAGCUAGGCACUCCCGGCUAGGAAUGAUGGCGUCGCGGGGAUCAGGAAGAACAGAUUUCUGUGGAAACAAGGGCAGAGCUGAGAGAUCCGGGCGUGGCCUGAUAUCACCGCGCGACCUCAGCGAACAGGAAGAGCGGGAGGAUGCGGGCGCAGCCUGAGGACGUCAUGGCGCGACCACAGGAAACAGGCCGAGUCACAGAACCGGACUUGGGUAACUGGAGCCGUUGCGGCUUGAGGACGUCACAGCCGCUGCGACAAGGCCACGGAGAACCGUAUGAAACCUGAGCGGACCGAUGCGGCGCGGCGUGAUGGUGUCACGAAGCGCUACAAUGACACCACGACCCGGACACCAUUAAAGACUGACGCGCUCCGGGCACCGGCGCCCCGCGAUGGUGUCACCGGGAGCGACGGAAUAGCGGCGGUCCUGAAGGACUUGGGCAGCGGCUUUCAAAGUGGUGAUCCGGAUUCUUGAUAAUGGCGUCACGGAUUCUUGAUAAUGGCGUCACAGUUGCAGCGAUAGAGGGGACCGGAAGCAGACGUGCAGUGACGUCUUCUGAGGUUCUUCCGACAGCCUGGCAGAAGUGUAUGUUAUUGAUGCGCAGUGGCGGUGCUUUGUGAUCCAGCGCGUUUCAGUCAUUGUGACUGGACGGGACAGAGGCUGUCUCACUACCUGUCAUCUCCCUGCCUUGACUUUCUGACCUGUCACAGGGAUAGGAAGUAACCUCGGUCCGUUGUGAUUACGUCAUUAACCCCGCCCUCAGUGUGGACCCUAAAUGGCAGAUUCCCUGAUUACUGUACUCCAUGGUGGCCCCUGUCUACUGGGGAGGGGCAUUGAUUCUAGCGCAGCCACACCUGUGGGCUCUUUGGAAUGAACCUGAGAUAAGUUCUCCCAUCUCUGGCUGCCUCCGGUGACCUUGACCCCAGACUUUUGCUUCCUAGGUCAAUACCUUGCUGACCUUUUUAUUAAACUAACCACAUCCUUAAAUUAAAUAGCGGUGUUGCCACUCAGUCACCCACCCAGUCACUGACACAUGGAGUCUAUGGGUUCUGUGUGUCUGGUUUCGUGCUGGUCUUUGAUGCACAUGGACUUGGAGGACAUGGAGCUAUUUUGCCAUCUGACUUGCAACUAUCUAAUCAGCACCAUUUGUUGACGAUGCACUCGGGUAUGGAAGACACCUCAAAUUAAAAGAUGGGCCUACCUCGGGGACCUCAAUUGCGCAAGAUGGUUUAGUUACCCUGGCCUUUUGUUUGUUUGGUUUUGUUUUUCCCUGUGUGAUUGAGUAUUGCAAUGUCUGUAAGUUUGUGUUGGAAUUUCGGCAGGGAUUGUUUUAAAUCUGAUGGCAGCUCGGAGACUGUGCUUUUAUUAUGUUAGGUCUACACAUUCUUUAGCGUGACAGGUCUUUCAGUCUUCUAACAUCGUAUUCAGUUUCUUUCCCCUAACACUGGCGUCCUUGUCAUGCGAGGCAGUCGCUGGCUUUUCAGUUUCUCCUGCGUAUAGUACACGAGGCUAGCGAGCCGUGUUUUGUCUCCCUACUCUCAGUCCCUUUCUUGUCUGUGUAUAGGAAGGUCAUGGGUUUGUUUAUUUUCUGUUGGUUGUGUACACAGCAACUUUGCUCACAGUGUUCAUCUGCUGCAAGAGCAGUCUGUGGGGUUUUUUGACUGACUUGUGUGCAAUCACAUCACCUGAAAUAAAAAUGACUUCUUCCUUUGUGGUUUUUAAAAAAAAAAAAAAAAAAAAAAAAA
rnacentral:lncRNA from 1 species